rnacentral:rRNA from 1 species
AGAGCGAACGCUGGCGGCAGGCUUAACACAUGCAAGUCGAGCGGGCGUAGCAAUACGUCAGCGGCAGACGGGUGAGUAACGCGUGGGAACAUACCUUUUGGUUCGGAACAACCCAGGGAAACUUGGGCUAAAUACCGGAUAAGCCCUUACGGGGAAAGAUUUAUCGCCGAAAGAUUGGCCCGCGUCUGAUUAGCUAGUUGGUGAGGUAACGGCUCACCAAGGCGACGAUCAGUAGCUGGUCUGAGAGGAUGAUCAGCCACAUUGGGACUGAGACACGGCCCAAACUCCUACGGGAGGCAGCAGUGGGAAUAUUGGACAAUGGGCGCAAGCCUGAUCCAGCCAUGCCGCGUGAGUGAUGAAGGCCCUAGGGUUGUAAAGCUCUUUUGUGCGGGAAGAUAAUGACGGUACCGCAAGAAUAAGCCCCGGCUAACUUCGCGCCAGCAGCCGC